rnacentral:ncRNA from 1 species
ACAAUGAUACUUCUACCCAGCCACAGUCCGAGCGUUAAAAGCGUCGCAGGCAAUGGGGGUAGCUCGGUCGGAUGGCGGAGAGGUGAAAUUCCUAUG